UAUCUCUGUAGAGUCUGCAUAUCAAUAAGCGGAGGAAAAGAAACUAACAAGGAUUCCCUUAGUAACGGCGAGUGAAGCGGGAAGAGCUCAAAUUUGAAAUCUUCAAGGUCCUACCUUGACGAAUUGUAGUUUAAAGAAGUGUUUUCUGUUAGAUGAGUAGCAAAAGUUCCUUGGAAUGGGACAUCAUAGAGGGUGAGAAUCCCGUAUUUGGUUAUUCAUUCUAGCUUUGUGAUACACUUUCAAAGAGUCGGAUUGUUUGGGAAUGCAGUCCAAAAUGGGUGGUAAAUUUCAUCUAAAGCUAAAUAUUGGCGAGAGACCGAUAGCGAACAAGUACCGUGAGGGAAAGAUGAAAAGAACUUUGAAAAGAGAGUUAAACAGUACGUGAAAUUGUCAAAAGGGAAGCGUUUGACACCAGUGUUGUUUUUCCGAAAAUCAAUUACGAAUGGCUUGAUUUUGUGUUGUAUUGACCUUAUCAGCUUUCUUCACUUUUUUCGAGUCUUUCUUAAUGCACUUUUCGGUUAACAAGUCAACAUCAAUUUCUUUUGUUGUAAAAGAGUAUUCGGAAGGUGGCUUUCUUUUCGGAGAAAGUGUUUAUAGCCCUAUACUUCUACAAUCGGAGAGAUUGAGGUCUGCAGCGUAGAUCCUUCGGGGUUAGAUACACUUGUGCUAAGUUGUAGCUUUUCAUAGACAACUUGUUGACUAUGUUUAGUCAUGCGGCUUACUCGCUUGUGCCAUUUUACCUACGCUUAGGAUGUUGACUGAUAUGUAGUCGUA
rnacentral:rRNA from 1 species